GUAGGGGGCAAGCGUUGUCCGGAUUUAUUGGGCGUAAAGAGCGUGUAGGCGGCCAUGCAGGUCCGUUGUGAAAACUCGAGGCUCAACCUCGAGACGCCGAUGGAAACCGCAUGGCUAGAGUCCGGAAGAGGAGAGUGGAAUUCCUGGUGUAGCGGUGAAAUGCGCAGAUAUCAGGAAGAACACCCGUGGCUAAGGCGGCUCUCUAGUACGGUACUGACGCUGAGACGCGAAAGCGUGGGGAGCGAACAGGAUUAGAUACCCUGGUAGUCCACGCCGUAAACGAUGGGUGCUAGGUGUGGGAGGUGUCGACUCCUUCCGUGCCGAAGCUAACGCAUUAAGCACCCCGCCUGGGGAGUACGGCCGCAAGGCUA
rnacentral:rRNA from 1 species